rnacentral:lncRNA from 1 species
AAACGAGGUUCUCUUGGUCAUCGAGGCUUAUAAGACUCUCCGUGACAGAGCUCCUUACCCGGCUAACCACGUUGUUGCUCACCUAAGUGGCGAUUUCGCCUUUGUGGUCUUUGAUAAAUCAACCUCCACUCUGUUUGUAGCCUCUGUAAGUUCUUUUAACCCCCUGAUAAACACUUUUUAAACUGUGAAGUAGAUUGAAUCUAAUGGUAACAAAAAACGGUGUUUGAUUUGCUGCAGGACCAAGUUGGCAAGGUUCCAUUGUAUUGGGGAAUAACAGCUGAUGGCUAUGUGGCAUUUGCUGAUGAUGUUGACUUACUAAAAGGUGCUUGUGGCAAGUCUCUUGCGUCUUUCCCUCAAGGUUCGUUUUUCAGUUUUGUUUGUUCACUCCUAAAUUCAAGAUUUUUGGGGCAUCACCCGCUCAAUGGUUUUGUAUGCGU